GACGAACGCUGGCGGCGUGCCUAAUACAUGCAAGUAGAACGCACAGUUUAUACCGUAGCUUGCUACACCAUAGACUGUGAGUUGCGAACGGGUGAGUAACGCGUAGGUAACCUGCCUGGUAGCGGGGGGUAACUAUUGGAAACGAUAGCUAAUACCGCAUAAUAUUGAUUAUUGCAUGAUAAUUGAUUGAAAGAUGCUAUUGCAUCACUACCAGAUGGACCUGCGUUGUAUUAGCUAGUAGGUGAGGUAACGGCUCACCUAGGCGACGAUACAUAGCCGACCUGAGAGGGUGAUCGGCCACACUGGGACUGAGACACGGCCCAGACUCCUACGGGAGGCAGCAGUAGGGAAUCUUCGGCAAUGGACGAAAGUCUGACCGAGCAACGCCGCGUGAGUGAAGAAGGUUGUCGGAUCGUAAAGCUCUGUUGUAAGAGAAGAACGGGUGUGAGAGUGGAAAGUUCACACUGUGACGGUAUCUUACCAGAAAGGGACGGCUAACUACGUG
rnacentral:rRNA from 1 species